rnacentral:rRNA from 1 species
CCUACGGGGGGCUGCAGUGGGGAAUUUUGGACAAUGGGGGCAACCCUGAUCCAGCCAUUCCGCGUGAGUGAAGAAGGCCUUCGGGUUGUAAAGCUCUUUCGGCAGGAACGAAACGGUGGGAGCUAAUAUCUUCUACUAAUGACGGUACCUGAAGAAGAAGCACCGGCUAACUACGUGCCAGCAGCCGCGGUAAUACGUAGGGUACGAGCGUUCGUCGGACGUGCUGGGCCGGUGACGUGCGUCAGAGGUGAAAUCCCCGGGCUUAACCUGGGAACUGCAUUUGAAACUAGGUCGCUAGAGUGUAGCAGAGGGGGGUAGAAUUCCACGUGUAGCAGUGAAAUGCGUAGAGAUGUGGAGGAAUACCGAUGGCGAAGGCAGCCCCCUGGGUUAACACUGACGCUCAUGCACGAAAGCGUGGGGAGCAAACAGGAUUAGAUACCCUAGUAGUC